CAAAGAUUCACUUAAGUACUGCAAAAACCGUAAGCUAUGCUCAAGGAUACAUAGAACUGGAAGAUUAUUGAGCUCAUCCAGUCUAGUUUGCUCAUUUUACCAUAGGAAACUGAAGAUCAGAAAUGUGGCCUGCUCAUGGUGACCAGAUCACAAGGUCCUUUUGAAUCCCCUUGCCUCAGCAGCAAUUGCACCAAGCACACAUUAUUUGAUAAAAAGGUGAUGAAUUUAUAUUCAUGAACAAAGAAUGAAUAGUGUCAUCAUCAUUUACAUUCUAGACGUGCUUCGGGGAAAAGGUGUUAUGCACUGAAUGUUUAUGUCUU
rnacentral:lncRNA from 1 species